rnacentral:rRNA from 1 species
AGUGAACGCUGGCGGUAGGCCUAACACAUGCAAGUCGAACGGCAGCACAGUAAGAGCUUGCUCUUACGGGUGGCGAGUGGCGGACGGGUGAGGAAUACAUCGGAAUCUACUUUUUCGUGGGGGAUAACGUAGGGAAACUUACGCUAAUACCGCAUACGACCUACGGGUGAAAGCAGGGGAUCUUCGGACCUUGCGCGAUUGAAUGAGCCGAUGUCGGAUUAGCUAGUUGGCGGGGUAAAGGCCCACCAAGGCGACGAUCCGUAGCUGGUCUGAGAGGAUGAUCAGCCACACUGGAACUUAGACACGGUCCAGACUCCUAUGGGAGGCAGCAGUGGGGAAUAUUGGACAAUGGGCGCAAGCCUGAUCCAGCCAUACCGCGUGGGUGAAGAAGGCCUUCGGGUUGUAAAGCCCUUUUGUUGGGAAAGAAAAGCAGCAGGUUAAUACCCCGCUGUUCUGACGGUACCCAAAGAAUAAGCACCGGCUAACUUCGUG